GCGGAAGUAGCUCACCUGGUAGAGCGGCAGCUUCCCAAGCUGCAGGUAGCGGGUUCGAGUCCCGUCUUCCGCU
rnacentral:tRNA from 2 species